rnacentral:lncRNA from 1 species
AGGUUUUACAAUCUGCAAUGAAAGAACUCACCUUUCUCAAACAUGGUUCCAAGAAAAUAAAGGUCAUUGCAAGUCUCAUCAUGUGCAGGAUAACCAUUUUCCUGUGUUUCCUGAGGCAUUGUGGAUCCGGCAGUGCACAAAACAGAUAAAGCCACCACUGUCAUCAAAUAUACUUUCUAGGAGGGGAAAAAGGAAAAUAGGCAAACAAAUAUUUACAUGACAAGGGGUGGCAAAUGUUAUAAUUAAAAAUAAAGGCUGGCAGAGCUAUAGAGAUGGAAAACAGAUCAGCAUUUGUCAGGAGAUUGAAGAGAAGGGUGGUUUAACUAGGCAAAGUACAUUUUUUACUACUGUGAAACUAUUCUGUAUGGUAGUCUAGUAUUAGACAAAUGACACCAUGCAUUUUUCAAAACCCAUAUAAUUUUAUAGUACAUACAUAACUUUAAUUGACACAUGCAACCUUUUAAGAAACCUGUUAGGAGGUUGGGGGAAUCUUAGGAUAGACUGCAGACUGUGUUAAUGAAUCAUGGCUUAUUAUGGCUAUGUGGCAUAACCUCCUGAAGGGGAUGGAAAAAAACAUGCUGAUAUUUUCUGCGAUUUUCUUCCUUUAUGGACUGAUGUUUGAUUGACAAAAUUUAGGGAGUAAUAUCUGCUGACUUCGCAAUGAAGUUUUUCUUUUCUUGCAACAAAGGUCCUCUAAGGCCGGCCUUUGACAGCUUUUGUCCUUGUCUUCGCUGGUGUUCUACCUUCAUCGACGUAUUCGCACCCCGAGAGCAAAUCCUGAGAUAUGUCCUUCUUAUGUCAAUUCAUGACCCACUUUUUAUGGUUUGGAAGAACAUUUGGUGCACAUGAGGAAAAGUCCUGGAAUUAAAACCAGGAUACACUGGUUCCAAGAGACCGGACGCAAGCUUCCCUGAGUUUGGAGUUGUUAACCAGAGUCACAGAAAUGGACCCCCAGGGUUUUGGAGCCUGACACAACAGAGACAGAGAUGAGUUUGUUGUAGAAAAAUUGAAGCAUUGGAAAUCAGUGAGAAGUUUGUGACAGGCAGAACCACAGAAUCAACAGCAUCGUGGCAAAUCCAAGAGUCUGAAAGUUCAUAAAGCAAAAGCUGCUGAGCUAGGAUCUGAGAGGGACUUGCCCAUGACCUUCUGAGGCAGUGACAAAGCAGCAAGCUCAAGGGGCUUAACGGGUACCUUGGCCUGGGUGCUCAUUGCUCCUGGGGGCCAUCAUGGGUUUCCUUGGGUUCCCUCUUCUGACACCAAAACUGUUAAAAGAUAAACUGAGGCAUAUUAAAAAUUGUUAAGAG